GCCCGCCUGGCGGAACUGGCAGACGCGCCGGAUUCAAAAUCCGGUACCCGUGAGGGUGUGGGGGUUCGAUUCCCCCUGCGGGCACCA
rnacentral:tRNA from 1 species